UACGUAGGGGGCAAGCGUUGUCCGGAUUCAUUGGGCGUAAAGAGCUCGUAGGCGGCUUGGCAAGUCGGGUGUGAAACCUCCAGCUCAACCUGGAGACGCCACCCGAUACUGCCAUGGCUAGAGUCCGGUAGGGGACCACGGAAUUCCUGGUGUAGCGGUGAAAUGCGCAGAUAUCAGGAAGAACACCCGUGGCGAAGGCGGCUCUCUGGGACGGUACUGACGCUGAGACGCGAAAGCGUGGGGAGCGAACAGG
rnacentral:rRNA from 1 species